rnacentral:snRNA from 1 species
AUACUUAACUUGGUACAGGAGAUACUAUGAUUAUGAAGGUGGUUUUCUCAAGGGAGGCUUAUCCAUUGCAUUCCAGACAUGGUGACCCCUUGGAUUUGUCCAAAUGUAAGGA